UUUCCGGCGACUUUUCGGCCACUUUCCGGCCACUUUUCCGGCGACUUUCCCCGGCGACCAAACUCACCGUUUCGCUGGAUUUUCGAGUGGAAAUCCUUAAUAUGUUUGCGCAGGUACUGAAGAUUAUGGAAUGGAUUAACUGCUAGCUUAAGAGAUUUAUAGCUGUGUAGUUAGGAUUUUAGUACUUUGUACUCAUAGAUGUUUGUACUAUUUGCUUGUAAUAUGUCUAGACAUUUACUUGUAAUUAAUAAGUUCCAUGCAGGCUUUAGUGUCA